AUUGAACGCUGGCGGCAUGCUUUACACAUGCAAGUCGAACGGCAGCGCGGGGCAACCUGGCGGCGAGUGGCGAACGGGUGAGUAAUAUAUCGGAACGUACCCAGAAGUGGGGGAUAACGUAGCGAAAGUUACGCUAAUACCGCAUACGAUCUACGGAUGAAAGUGGGGGACCUUCGGGCCUCAUGCUUGUGGAGCGGCAGAUAUCUGAUUAGCUAGUUGGUAGGGUAAAGGCCUACCAAGGCGACGAUCAGUAGCUGGUCUGAGAGGACGACCAGCCACACUGGGACUGAGACACGGCCCAGACUCCUACGGGAGGCAGCAGUGGGGAAUUUUGGACAAUGGGCGCAAGCCUGAUCCAGCAAUGCCGCGUGAGUGAAGAAGGCCUUCGGGUUGUAAAGCUCUUUUGUCAGGGAAGAAACGGGACUGGAUAAUACCUGGUCCUAAUGACGGUACCUGAAGAAUAAGCACCGGCUAACUACGUGCCAGCCGCCGCCGUAA
rnacentral:rRNA from 1 species